AUUGAACGCUGGCGGCAGGCCUAACACAUGCAAGUCGAGCGGAGCGGCGGACGGGUGAGUAAUGCCUAUGAAUCUGCCUGGUAGUGGGGGAUAACGUCCGGGAACGGGCGCUAAUACCGCAUACUCUCAGAUGAGCCUAGGUCGGAUGAGCUAGUUGGUGGGGUAAAGGCCUACCAAGGCGACGAUCCGUAACUGGUCUGAGUGGAUGAUCAGUCACAGUGGAACGGAGAUACGGACCAUACUCCUACGGGAGGCAGCAGUGGGGAAUAUUGGGCAAUGGGCGAAAGCCUGAUCCAGCCAUGCCGCGUGUGCGAAGAAGGUCUUCGGAUUGUAAAGCACGUUAAGUUGGGAGGCGGUACCUACAGAAUAAGCACCGGCUAACUUCGUGCCAGCAGCCGCGGUAAUUC
rnacentral:rRNA from 1 species